GCAGCGGGAGAUGCUUAGACCAAGGACAGAUUCUAUUUGGUUUUAUUGUAUAUGAUCCUCAGAAUUUUAUUUCUCGGAUUAUUGUUGAUGUCCAGAGAAUAACUCUCCCUCCAACCUCAGCCAUUCCCUUUGCUACACACAUACAUCAUUCAGUAUAUUUUUAAUUUUAAAAGUAGGUAAUUAGAGUAUUUUAUAUACUCUCUAAAAGAAACAACGGCAAAGCCCUUUACUGCAUGUGGCUCCUGGAUCUGGAGGGCAAUUCAUUAUAUCAAUAAGAUUCCCCUGCUCUGACUUACAGAAUGUGGGCUCUGAUUAGGUAAACUGACUUCCCCUGUUUGUUCCCUUUUAUACUUUAAUUAAAUAUAAAAUUACUUUAAUUAUUUAAAUAUGUAUGCAUUGGCAGUCUACUGUGUUUAAUAUAUUGAUUUAGACAUGAAGACAGGUUGGGAUGUCAUGAGCUUGGAAUCUUGAAAUCUUGAAAAUUCUGGAAUGUUUUCUCAAAACAAUUUACAUUAGAAUUAGCUGGGGUGCUUGUUAAAAAUUCAGUUAUCCAUCUUACUUUUACCAACUCAGAUUCUUCAGCCAUUUGCAUUGAUAGCCACUCCCCAGCAUCCACUCCCUCAAAGGUGAAAACCAGAAAUUGGCAGUAGAUGAUAUGCAACUAUUAAAUAUAAUGUGAAGCUUUAGUCUCAAUAGAUUUGGACAAAUAAUAAAUGAAAGUAAUUUUCAAAACUGAAGGGAAGUAAUACCAAAAAAGUCAGCAGAGUGAAAAGAACACUGGAUAGAAUGAAGAGACAAGACUUUUAGUCUCUGGCCAACUUUGGGAGACUUAAUUCACUUUCCAGGCCUCAGUUUCCUCAAUCAAGAAAUUGGAUUUUAGGCAUCUUUUAUACGUAAUUCUAAAUCCGAGUUGCGAGGACAGAGAACCUGGAGGACUGACACUGGGAAGAUUACAGAAGGCAGAGCUCCAGAGGGCAAAGCAAGAAAAUGUUACAAAUCUAUUUAUUCAAUCCUUGAAUCUGAGUAUAUCUGUUCCACUAUCAAAA